CAGGGGGCGACACGCGUUACCGAGGACAGAGGGAUGAUAACUGUAGUCAGAGCAACAGAAGUAAAAACAAACAAACAAAAAAAUGAUUCUAUCAUAGUGGAUUUAUACUGGUGCUAGCUUGCUCUGCUGUCUGUCAGCUAGCAUAACCGCACCGGCGCGCGCCGGUUUGUCAGCGGUGGACGUUUCUGGACACAGACCACGUGAUGUAAGACAAAACCACAGCACUGUUGGAUCAACGUGUGUUUUCCUGUCCUGGAGAGGUUCUUCAGCCACGAGGACACAUGGGCAGAUUUCCAACUGAGUACAGAGGCCCUUGCUUUGCUUCAGGAACAUUUCCUCCAAGAACGGAGUUGCGGAUGUGGUGCCAAGAUCGAGACCCUGGCGUUUCAGUUCUGGCUGGCGAGUGUAUCAUCACUCCACUGUCCACAGAGUUACAGAAGAGCUGAAGGCCGUUCCACACAAGGUCCUUUACCUCCCGAGGACCACAGAAGAACUAGACUCUGUAACCAAGGAUUUGCAGAGCUGGCCACAAAACACCCAGCUUCUGCAAAAGCAGCUGGAACAAUCAACGGCCGCCAUGUCAGGAUCAAGCCACCAAGCAGCCCUGGUGGUCAUUGUUACAGUCAUAACGGCACAUGCCAUCCUCCACAACAUCUGUCCGGGAGCCAGGGACAUCGUAGCUCCAGAAGAUUAGCCUGAGUAGCAUGUGGCCUUGGGCAAGGUGUGGAAUCAGUCAGCGGAGCGCCCUGUUGUGACCGGCCGUCUGUGGAGGAGGUUUCACGACUAUUGUUACUUGUAAUCUUGACACGGCAGCUGUCGAAUGAGCCAGUGCUGCAAACCCGGACUGUGCAGCACAACGUGGAGACGAAGCAAAGCUGGAGACCACCCCACAUGAGAAGAUGACGAGAGAGAGACCUAAACAAGGGAUGGUGACGAAGAUGAAAGAAGAAGAAGAACGGACGCUUCUCGGUGUGUCCAGGACCAGCAUCGUGUCCCUGAACGGACCACAUUCAAACAAUUAAGAGACUGCAGCGUGAAGUGGAGAAAAAGAAGGGAAGACGCAGAGCAAAGGGCCAUGAGCCGAACGUGAACCUGCAGCUUCAGACCUGAAGAUAAAGCCUCGGUACGUGGACCUCCUGCCUGACCAGCUCCUGAUUCCCCCAGCUCCUUGUUAGGGGCAGGCUCAGGUGGCUCACAGAGGCUGAGAUGGAUGAGGUGUCGGUCCUGUGCAGACCCAGCAGCAUCCUCAAAGAGGAGCACCAGUGGCAGACGUCCCGUCAGCCUGUCAGGUCCGGCCCCAAAGUCAGGCGAUGGCGAUACACUGUAGUGUCUUUGCUUGACAGAACACAGCGCUGCUCCCUUCGACCGAGACGGAUCAUACUGGCUGGAAAGUCACAAGGGAGCCAGAGUGAUGCAUCUUCUACAAAAUAAAAAAAACCGAAAGAAACACCUUUGACAUUGAAUUAAAGGUAAUUAUCUGCAGCAUACUUACUUAAAUAAUAAUAAUGAUAAUACAUUUCACAAAAUUCACAAAAUGCUCGCUAAAGUUAAACCCAAACAGAGAAGACAUUAAAAACAGUAACUUAUAAAUAAGUUAAACUUAGACCAUACGAUUGACAGGGAAAACACAGGCAAAACACAGACGGCAUACAGGACGGUUUCUAAAACCCUUUCAGCAAUAAAAA